rnacentral:lncRNA from 1 species
GAAUCCAGGAUGUUGUAACCUGAAAAUUACUUUCAGCACAGGUGGCUUGGCUUUAAAGGGUUAUGUAAAGUAAUCAGAACAUCAAGGACUCGAGGAAGGUCUCCGAGCGACCCCCUAACAGCAAGCUAUAUGGAGUAUAAAGCAUACGUAUAAGAUAAUAAGGCCGCGCUUAGGAUUCGUGCGCACAAAGCAAGAAUCUAGACACAUGAUGAUGAUGCGAUGAACAAUAAGAGCAAGCCAUAUGUGCGUAUACUAACUAGCCCACCCUGUCUCUCUCUGUCUCUGUACAAGAUAUUCCAUCAAAAUCGUAAGACCAAACCCAGCAAUGGAAACAACUAAAAUGACAAAUUCAUAAUUCUACCAAGUCCGAGACUAACUAUACUAUACUGAUGAUGAAGCGUCGACGAAAAUUCCAGAAACACCUCACUCUUUUCUCUUCUCUCCGUGAUGACAACGACGUCGCCGGCCCCACCCACACGUGCCGUGCGUAUCAAUCGAACUCGGCAGGAAAAGGUGUCCUCCUCGCUUCCAUCUCCGGCGACGCGCGCGGCGGAGACGGACAGCUAUCGUCGAACGGACGGACGAAGGAACGAAGGAAGGUCGGUAGGAUCAGAGCUUGGUGUGGUCGCGGCACUCCUGGCUGCGGACGCCCAGCUCCGCGACGCCGAAUACGAAGCUGCAGUCGGAGUAGGCGACGGCGUGGCGCUUGAACACGCCGAACACCGCCACCCGCCCGGGGAUCCUGGUGCUGGCCUCCAGCGGCAGCGACCCGGUCUCCACGUCCGUGACCAGCUGCGCCAGGUCCCCGGCGAACCGGUCCGCCUGCAGCGUCAGCGCAAGCUUCACGUCCGCGUCCCCCUUGCUGGGGACGCGGCCGGGGUCGAUCUCGGCGUCGCCGACGUGGGCGCCGCGGUAGGUGAGGUCCGUGUGGCCGCCCGACGGGAAGGAGAAGGAGGCCGGGUUGGGGUUGUGCACGGACACCGUGAGGAGGAGGGUGACGUUGAGCUGGAUGUUGAGCGCCGGGAAGGUGAGGCGCGGGGCCACGCCGAUGAGGC